UAGCCGGUGGAAGUCCGGACGAGGAAAGGCCAAGUCGCCUCGUAGCUGACAGGCAACUGAUGGAGAUUCUAAGAUUGAAGCCCUGUGACAAAGUAACUCCGCUAGGAGUGCGAUCAACCAGCAUACCGUAACAUGA
rfam:Paenibacillus sp. MY03 contig4, whole genome shotgun sequence.